GAUGAACGCUAGCUACAGGCUUAACACAUGCAAGUCGAGGGGAAACGGCAUCGAAAGCUUGCUUUUGAUGGGCGUCGACCGGCGCACGGGUGAGUAACGCGUAUCCAACCUGCCCAUCACUUGGGAAUAACCUUGCGAAAGUAAGACUAAUGCCCAAUGACAUCCCACGAAGGCAUCCGAAUGGGAUUAAAGAUUUAUCGGUGAUGGAUGGGGAUGCGUCUGAUUAGCUUGUUGGCGGGGUGACGGCCCACCAAGGCAACGAUCAGUAGGGGUUCUGAGAGGAAGGUCCCCCACAUUGGAACUGAGACACGGUCCAAACUCCUACGGGAGGCAGCAGUGAGGAAUAUUGGUCAAUGGGCGAGAGCCUGAACCAGCCAAGUAGCGUGCAGGAUGACGGCCCUAUGGGUUGUAAACUGCUUUUAUAAGGGAAUAAAGUGGGUCACGUGUGACUUUUUGCAUGUACCUUAUGAAUAAGGACCGGCUGAUUCCGUG
rnacentral:rRNA from 1 species